UACAGAGGUCCCCAAGCGUUGUUCGGAUUUACUGGGCGUAAAGGGUGCGUAGGCGGCCAAAAAGUCUGAUGUGAAAUCUUGGAGCUCAACUCCGAAACUGCAUUGGAUACUGGUUGGCUCGAGGAAUGGAGGGGAGACUGGAAUUCUCGGUGUAGCAGUGAAAUGCGUAGAUAUCGAGAGGAACAUCAGUGGCGAAGGCGAGUCUCUGGACAUUUCCUGACGCUGAGGCACGAAAGCCAAGGGAGCAAAC
rnacentral:rRNA from 1 species